GACAAGCUCUUUAGUGCGAAUUACAACACGAGAAAGACACUUCCUCUCUACUCAGAACAGAGCUACAACAAUGGAAGGAUUGAAAAAGGAGUUGUGGGAGCUUCAGGACGAGAAGGCAGAGCUGCAGAAGAUCUGCGAGGA